UGCUGCCAAAAUGCUGCUGAUCCUGCGACGAAGAGACCUCGCCGGAAUCUCAUCCAAAGCUGGAUUCAUGCAUGCUCCUCCCUGAUCAUUGGCCAUCCCCUUUCACCGCAUGUUUCCAUUUUGGCUUUUUUUUUUAACAGGAAGUAAAAGCACAAGGUUAUCACAUUUAUCAAUUGUUGAGUGUUAGGUACCAACUACCCUUCCAAACAAUCUAUUUUCUUUGUUUUGUUAUGUUUCAUUGUGUUUUUGACAGAUUUUACAGAAGUGUGAAUUGAGGUUGAGAUGGGUGGGUUUGAUUGGAGCAAGUUAAUAUUUUAAAUACAUUGAUGAGUUGUGAAAAUGUCAAUUAGCCUCUUGUUUUUUUUUAAUUAGAAAAUGUAACAAGGAUGUUAUAAGGUAGGGUAGGACAUUUUUUGCAAUUCUCUUCCAAGUGGAUUUUCCUAGAUGAACAUCGACAAACAUUCAUCCAAGAAUAAGGUGAGCAACUAUCACUCUAAUUGUUUGGACAAUUGUUUGUCUUUCUAAAUUUUUAUUUCUUAACCAAAAUCCUAAUUUCAAUUCUAACUUCUAAUCUCCUAACCCUAAUCCCUAAAUUCAACUUACAAUUUCUAACUCAUAUAUUAUAUAGCUAUAAAUGAAAUAUAAUCAAGUGCAACUACUUCUUUGAAAUUUCAAAACAAAGUGUCAACAAGACACCAAAAUAUUAAAAAUAAAUUAAUAAAUAAAUAAUAUCAAGUCAUAACAAAUGAUCUAUGGCAUUUUACAAAGUCAUAUUUUACAAUAGUUUUGUAAGACCAAAAAUAUUGCAUCAGUUUUUAAAGUAUUUUUGAAAGUAAUUCCAGAAUAGCCAUUUCUACUUAAUUAAUAAGUUUACACAUUACAUUGUAAAUUGAUCCAAAUGUAAGAUUAGAAGUAACUUAUUAAACAAAAAACACGAAUUGCUUAUUAAAUACUCAAUUUUUAUAUAUAUAUAUAUUUAUAUAUUUAUUGUGAUAUUAAAUAGUAAAUUUGAACUCAUAAAUUUAUAAUUUUUUAUUUAAAAUAAUUUUUUAAUAAAAUAAUAUAUU
rnacentral:lncRNA from 1 species